rnacentral:rRNA from 1 species
GCUCCUACGGGGGGCAGCAGCCGCGGUAAUACGGAGGAUGCGAGCGUUAUCCGGAUUUAUUGGGUUUAAAGGGUGCGCAGGCGGACCAUCAAGUCAGCGGUAAAAUCGUGGGGCCCAACCCCAUCCCGCCGUUGAAACUGGCGGUCUUGAGUGAGCGAGAAGUAUGCGGAAUGCGUGGUGUAGCGGUGAAAUGCAUAGAUAUCACGCAGAACUCCGAUUGCGAAGGCAGCAUACCGGCGCUCAACUGACGCUCAUGCACGAAAGCGUGGGGAUCGAACAGGAUUAGAUACCCUGUAGUCCAACAA